ensembl:snRNA U1 U1 spliceosomal RNA
GACUUUACCUGGCAGGGGAGAUACCAUGAUCACGAAGGUGGUUUUCCCAGGGCGAGGCUUAUCCAUUGCACUCCGGAUGUGCUGACCCCUGUGAUUUCCCCAAAUGUGGGAAACUCGACUGCAUAAUUUGUGGUAGUGGGGGACUGCGUUCAUGCUCUCCCCUG